GGGAAGUCUGAUAAAGUUAUUUGGGUAAGGAAUGCAUGGGAAAUUAAAUUCAUGUGUUUGUGUGUUUAUUUAGUACUGGCGCUCCAGGAGAGCAAGAGUUUCUUCUCCUACACAUCCUGAUGAACAAAAGUUAAAGAGCAUGAAAACAGCUCUUAGGCCGUGUCCCAAAUGGCACCCUCAGCCCUCGCGGUCCUCCUCCGUGGUCCAGUCCCAUAUGGAACCCUCAGCUCUCCUCCGUAUCUAUACUUUGCCACGUGGGUUGUUAGAAAGCACAAUAACAGCCUGUUGCAGUUACGCUCACCCACCACAGAUACAGGAUGUGUGAGCAGGUCUCAGGGCAUCCAGCUGUAGGAACGCCAACUUGCAUUCAGCAAUACUGUAACCUUGUGACCUCCAUCGAUUGUGAGAACACUCUUUGAAAUCUGAAAUGACACUACUACUGUCCACAUCAAGUGUUCUAUCUAGGAAAGCUCCCUGUAAUGAAGACCAGUUCUGAAUGUAGAUAAGGUUCAGCUAUCAAGAUCAUGACAAAUAACAUUUCAUUUCAUAGGUAAAAUGGUAAGUUACUGUCUUCGUAAGAUCAGAAUCAGUAAAGAUUUGAAAAUAAAUGGUCAGGUUUUUCUACA
ensembl:lncRNA